rnacentral:rRNA from 1 species
UGAGGAAUAUUGGUCAAUGGACGGAAGUCUGAACCAGCCAUGCCGCGUGAAGGAAUAAGGCCCUAUGGGUCGUAAACUUCUUUUGUGGUGGAGCAAUAAGACCUACGUGUAGGUCGAUGAGAGUACAUCACGAAUAAGCAUCGGCUAACUCCGUGCCAGCAGCCGCGGUAAUACGGAGGAUGCAAGCGUUAUCCGGAAUUAUUGGGUUUAAAGGGUGCGUAGGCUGUUUUGCAAGUCAGGGGUGAAAGCCCGGAGCUCAACUCCGGAACUGCCUUUGAUACUGCGAGGCUGGAAUACGGAUGCCGUGGGAGGAAUGAGUAGUGUAGCGGUGAAAUGCAUAGAUAUUACUCAGAACACCGAUUGCGAAGGCAUCUCACGAAUCCGUCAUUGACGCUGAGGCACGAAAGCGUGGGGAUCAAACAGG